rnacentral:rRNA from 1 species
CUACGGGAGGCAGCAGUGGGGAAUAUUGCGCAAUGGGCGAAAGCCUGACGCAGCAACGCCGCGUGGGGGAUGAAGGUUCUCGGAUUGUAAACCCCUUUCGACCGGAACGAAUCCCCUCCUGGUGAACAAUCAGGAGGGUCGACGGUACCGGGAGAAGAAGCCACGGCUAACUCUGUGCCAGCAGCCGCGGUAAGACAGAGGUGGCUAGCGUUGUUCGGAUUUAUUGGGCGUAAAGCGCACGCAGGCGGUUUGGUAAGUCAGAGGUGAAAUUCCGCAGCUUAACUGCGGAACUGCCUUUGAUACUGCCUUUCUCGAGUGCAUGAGGGGGAAGCGGAAUUCCGGGUGUAGAGGUGAAAUUCGUAGAUAUCCGGAGGAACACCGGUGGCGAAGGCGGCUUCCUGGCAUGUAACUGACGCUCAGGUGCGAAAGCGUGGGUAGCAAACAGGAUUAGAUACCCGUGUAGUCCC